GCAUGGACGAAUUCUGCAUUGGCUCUUAUAAUAGCCAGUGGAGUCAGACACCAUGCAAGAGCAGUGCCUCUGUCCUGAACAUUGCUGGUGGCAUGCUGUGUCUCUGGCGGCAUGCCUGCAUCAGAAACAGAUACACAA